rnacentral:rRNA from 1 species
CACGUAGGGCGCAAGCGUUGUCCGGAAUUAUUGGGCGUAAAGAGCUCGUAGGCGGUCUGUUGCGUCCGCUGUGAAAACCCGGGGCUUAACCCCUGGCUUGCAGUGGAUACGGACAGACUAGAGGUAGGUAGGGGAGAAUGGAAUUCCCGGUGUAGCGGUGAAAAUGCGCAGAUAUCAGGAGGAACACCGAUGGCGAAGGCAGGUCUCUGGGGCCAUAAACUGACGUGAGAAGCGAAAAGCAUGGGGGGAGCGAACGG